UAAUACGGAGGGUGCGAGCGUUGUCCGGAAUCACUGGGCGUAAAGGGCGCGUAGGCGGUCUGCUAAGCGUGCGGUGAAAGCCUGGGGCUCAACCCCAGGUCUGCCGUGCGAACUGGUGGACUAGAGCACUGUAGAGGCAGGUGGAAUUCCGGGUGUAGCGGUGGAAUGCGUAGAGAUCCGGAAGAACACCGGUGGCGAAGGCGGCCUGCUGGGCAGUUGCUGACGCUGAUGCGCGACAGCGUGGGGAGCAAACAGGAUUAGAUACCCUGGUAGUCCACGCCGUAAACGAUGGGCACUAGGUGCUUGGGGGAGCGACCCCCCGAGUGCCGGCGCUAACGCAUUAAGUGCCCCGCCUGGGGAGUACGACCGCAAGGUUG
rnacentral:rRNA from 1 species